rnacentral:lncRNA from 10 species
GUGAAAAAUACCACAGCCCAACAGCCACUGGAGAACAGUGUUCUUCUGGAAGCUUCCUCUGGGCAGGAGGAGUCAAAGAUCCUGGUCCUCAGGGACACUUGAGAUGGGUGUGCCCAAAGCUGUGCAGGAUGGUUUGGUUUGUUUUGUUUUUCUUUGCCUCAGGAAGAAUGUGUUCACAAACCUCAGGACAAAUCGUUUAAAAAAGUGUCCUGACAGUUGUCAUGCUUCAUCACUUGAUUUAGAGGCAAUAGGACAGCCUUAUUUUCUUCUAAUCUCUGGUGGUUGAGGAGUCUGGUUGGCCUGGCAGAAGGCUGAGAUUGGCUGAGGGAGUCAUGAGCGAGCAGGGGCCUCUGGUGCCUGAAGCGCCCCUCAGGAAGAGCGGGUCUCACCGGAAGGCCACACUCAUCUCCUUCCUGGUUACCCAGUGUGGGGAUUUGCUACUUUGCUGAGUGUGUUUUGUCUACAUUCAUGGUGCUCCAGAACUGUGUCUGUGUUUCUCACAUUCUCUUUCGUGUCUGCCAGAGCAACAUUCUCAGCAAACCAUCUGAAUGCAACUCCUGUGAUCACAAAAGUCAAUCACUGAUGGAAAUGAAGACCACGACCCUGAUUCCUCAGGUGCCGGAUUGAUGGAACCUCAAAUGUGUAAAGUCUUGCACAGGAAACCCCCCAGCAUGGCCAUUCAGAGGCUCUCAACUCCUGCUGGACCCAAACACAAGAAACCAGGAGGCCCAGACCCCGUCUCUCAUUUUGCACCUCAGUAAACAGUACCUCGAAAGAGAACUCCAUUUUCUUUUCUUAACGUUCUUCA